AUCCAGAUGAAGAGGCCCGAAUAGGACGAGACGCGAGUUCUGGAU
rnacentral:hammerhead_ribozyme from 1 species